CAGUAGCCGCGGUAAUACGUAGGGUGCAAGCGUUAAUCGGAAUUACUGGGCGUAAAGGGCUCGCAGGCGGUUUCUUAAGUCUGAUGUGAAAGCCCCCGGCUCAACCGGGGAGGGUCAUUGGAAACUGGGAAACUUGAGUGCAAAAGAGGAGAGUGGAAUUCCACGUGUAGCGGUGAAAUGCGUAGAGAUGUGGAGGAACACCAGUGGCGAAGGCGACUCUCUGGUCUGUAACUGACGCUGAGGAGCGAAAGCGUGGGGAGCGAACAGGAUUAGAUACCCGUGUAGUCCCUGUCUCUUAUAC
rnacentral:rRNA from 1 species